GUGCAUGAGUGCAUAGUGUAUAGUGUGCCAUUUGGGACGCAGCUAUGGAAAGGCUUCUUCACUGCGCUGUUGUUUGUUGAUGCCCUUAUUUGAGGAACAUUUUUGUUCUUAUACCUCAGAUAGGGUUUUUGGUAUACACUUUAAGUCAUCAAAACAGGACCUGGACAAUCCAUCCUCAUAUCCACAGACUUUUUCCAUCCACUUUCCUACUGAUUCCGUGGCCAACCAUUGAUGAACUGUUUGCUGAACUUGAUCUUUCAUGUGAUUCACUUAAGGACUGUUGGUAUCUUUUUUUGAUUGCUAUAAAUACUGGAUUCAAUGAGAAAGACACUUAUCAAAUGCUUAUUUCUGUCUAAUAGUGAUCAUUGAGUUGACUGCUGAUCAUUUCAUAUCCCCAGUGUGUAACAAUAAUUAUUCAUACCUGUUGUCAUAUACAUUUAUUCUAAAUACACAUGAAUCUCUGAAAGUUGUUUUGUGGUCUCUCAAUUUCUUUAAUGUAGCUU